GGGUUGUGAGGUUAAGCGACUAAGCGUACACGGUGGAUGCCCUGGCAGUCAGAGGCGAUGAAGGACGUGCUAAUCUGCGAAAAGCGUCGGUAAGGUGAUAUGAACCGUUAUAGCCGGCGAUGUCCGAAUGGGGAAACCCAGUGCAAUUCGUUGCACUAUCGUUAACUGAAUACAUAGGUUAACGAGGCGAACCGGGGGAACUGAAACAUCUAAGUACCCCGAGGAAAAGAAAUCAACCGAGAUUCCCCCAGUAGCGGCGAGCGAACGGGGAGCAGCCCGGAGUCUGAAUCAGCUUGUGUGUUAGUGGAAGCGUCAGGAAAGUCGCAGGGUACAGGGUGAUACUCCCGUACACUAAAACACACAGGUUGUGAACUCGAAGAGUAGGGCGGGACACGUGGUAUCCUGUCUGAAUAUGGGGGGACCAUCCUCCAAGGCUAAAUACUCCUGACUGACCGAUAGUGAACCAGUACCGUGAGGGAAAGGCGAAAAGAACCCCGGCGAGGGGAGUGAAAAAGAACCUGAAACCGUGUACGUACAAGCAGUAGGAGCCUCUUUAUGGGGUGACUGCGUACCUUUUGUAUAAUGGGUCAGCGACUUAUAUUCUGUAGCAAGGUUAACCGUAUAGGGGAGCCGCAGGGAAACCGAGUCUUAACUGGGCGUUAAGUUGCAGGGUAUAGACCCGAAACCCGGUGAUCUAGCCAUGGGCAGGUUGAAGGUUGGGUAACACUAACUGGAGGACCGAACCGACUAAUGUUGAAAAAUUAGCGGAUGACUUGUGGCUGGGGGUGAAAGGCCAAUCAAACCGGGAGAUAGCUGGUUCUCCCCGAAAGCUAUUUAGGUAGCGCCUCGUGAACUCAUCUUCGGGGGUAGAGCACUGUUUCGGCUAGGGGGUCAUCCCGACUUACCAACCCGAUGCAAACUACGAAUACCGAAGAAUGUUAUCACGGGAGACACACGGCGGGUGCUAACGUCCGUCGUGAAGAGGGAAACAACCCAGACCGCCAGCUAAGGUCCCAAAGUCAUGGUUAAGUGGGAAACGAUGUGGGAAGGCCCAGACAGCCAGGAUGUUGGCUUAGAAGCAGCCAUCAUUUAAAGAAAGCGUAAUAGCUCACUGGUCGAGUCGGCCUGCGCGGAAGAUGUAACGGGGCUAAACCAUGCACCGAAGCUGCGGCAGCGACACUAUGUGUUGUUGGGUAGGGGAGCGUUCUGUAAGCCGUUGAAGGUGGCCUGUGAGGGUUGCUGGAGGUAUCAGAAGUGCGAAUGCUGACAUAAGUAACGAUAAUGCGGGUGAAAAACCCGCACGCCGGAAGACCAAGGGUUCCUGUCCAACGUUAAUCGGGGCAGGGUGAGUCGACCCCUAAGGCGAGGCCGAAAGGCGUAGUCGAUGGGAAACAGGUUAAUAUUCCUGUACUCGGUGUUACUGCGAAGGGGGGACGGAGAAGGCUAUGUUGGCCGGGCGACGGUUGUCCCGGUUUAAGCAUGUAGGCGGAUGUUCCAGGUAAAUCCGGAACGUUAUCAACGCUGAGGUGUGAUGACGAGGCACUACGGUGCUGAAGUGACAAAUGCCCUGCUUCCAGGAAAAGCCUCUAAGCAUCAGGUAACAUCAAAUCGUACCCCAAACCGACACAGGUGGUCAGGUAGAGAAUACCAAGGCGCUUGAGAGAACUCGGGUGAAGGAACUAGGCAAAAUGGUGCCGUAACUUCGGGAGAAGGCACGCUGAUAUGUAGGUGAAGUGGUUUACCCAUGGAGCUGAAAUCAGUCGAAGAUACCAGCUGGCUGCAACUGUUUAUUAAAAACACAGCACUGUGCAAACACGAAAGUGGACGUAUACGGUGUGACGCCUGCCCGGUGCCGGAAGGUUAAUUGAUGGGGUUAUCCGUAAGGAGAAGCUCUUGAUCGAAGCCCCGGUAAACGGCGGCCGUAACUAUAACGGUCCUAAGGUAGCGAAAUUCCUUGUCGGGUAAGUUCCGACCUGCACGAAUGGCGUAAUGAUGGCCAGGCUGUCUCCACCCGAGACUCAGUGAAAUUGAACUCGCUGUGAAGAUGCAGUGUACCCGCGGCAAGACGGAAAGACCCCGUGAACCUUUACUAUAGCUUGACACUGAACACUGGUCCUUGAUGUGUAGGAUAGGUGGGAGGCUUUGAAGUGUGGACGCCAGUCUGCAUGGAGCCAUCCUUGAAAUACCACCCUUUAAUGGCUGGUGUUCUAACGUGGGCCCCUAAUCGGGGUUGCGGACAGUGUCUGGUGGGUAGUUUGACUGGGGCGGUCUCCUCCUAAAGAGUAACGGAGGAGCACGAAGGUCAGCUAAUCCUGGUCGGACAUCAGGAGGUUAGUGCAAUGGCAUAAGCUGGCUUGACUGCGAGCGUGACGGCGCGAGCAGGUGCGAAAGCAGGUCAUAGUGAUCCGGUGGUUCUGAAUGGAAGGGCCAUCGCUCAACGGAUAAAAGGUACUCCGGGGAUAACAGGCUGAUACCGCCCAAGAGUUCAUAUCGACGGCGGUGUUUGGCACCUCGAUGUCGGCUCAUCACAUCCUGGGGCUGAAGUAGGUCCCAAGGGUAUGGCUGUUCGCCAUUUAAAGUGGUACGCGAGCUGGGUUUAGAACGUCGUGAGACAGUUCGGUCCCUAUCUGCCGUGGGCGCUGGAGAAUUGAGGGGGGCUGCUCCUAGUACGAGAGGACCGGAGUGGACGCAUCACUGGUGUUCGGGUUGUCAUGCCAAUGGCAUUGCCCGGUAGCUAAAUGCGGAAGAGAUAAGUGCUGAAAGCAUCUAAGCACGAAACUUGCCCCGAGAUGAGUUCUCCCUGACUCCUUGAGAGUCCUGAAGGAACGUUGAAGACGACGACGUUGAUAGGCCGGGUGUGUAAGCGCAGCGAUGCGUUGAGCUAACCGGUACUAAUGAACCGUGAGGCUUAACCUUACAACGCCGAAG
rnacentral:rRNA from 1 species